AGUAAACGGCGGCCGUAACUAUAACGGUCCUAAGGUAGCGAAAUUCCUUGUCGGGUAAGUUCCGACCCGCACGAAAGGCGUAACGAUUUGGGCACUGUCUCAACGAGAGACUCGGUGAAAUCAUAGUACCGGUGAAGAUGCCGGUUACCCGCGACAGGACGGAAAGACCCCGUGGAGCUUUACUGUAGCCUGAUAUUGAAAUUCGGUACAGUUUGUACAGGAUAGGUAGGAGCCUUAGAAGCGUGAGCGCUAGCUUACGUGGAGGCAUUGGUGGGAUACUACCCUAAUUGUAUUGGAUUUCUAACCCGCAGCACUUAUCGUGCUGGGAGACAGUGUCAGGCGGGCAGUUUGACUGGGGCGGUCGCCUCCUAAAGAGUAACGGAGGCGCUCAAAGGUUCCCUCAGAAUGGUUGGAAAUCAUUCAUAGAGUGUAAAGGCAUAAGGGAGCUUGACUGCGAGACCUACAAGUCGAGCAGGGUCGAAAGACGGACUUAGUGAUCCGGUGGUUCCGCAUGGAAGGGCCAUCGCUCAACGGAUAAAAGCUACCCCGGGGAUAACAGGCUUAUCUCCCCCAAGAGUUCACAUCGACGGGGAGGUUUGGCACCUCGAUGUCGGCUCAUCGCAUCCUGGGGCUGUAGUCGGUCCCAAGGGUUGGGCUGUUCGCCCAUUAAAGCGGUACGCGAGCUGGGUUCAGAACGUCGUGAGACAGUUCGGUCCCUAUCCGUCGUGGGCGUAGGAAAUUUGAGAGGAGCUGUCCUUAGUACGAGAGGACCGGGAUGGACAUACCUCUGGUGUACCAGUUGUCGUGCCAACGGCAUAGCUGGGUAGCUAUGUAUGGACGGGAUAAGUGCUGAAAGCAUCUAAGCAUGAAGCCCCCCUCGAGAUGAGAUUUCCCAACUUCGGUUAUAAGAUCCCUCAAAGAUGAUGAGGUGAAU
rnacentral:rRNA from 1 species